rnacentral:rRNA from 1 species
GGGUCAGUAGGUUGGUCGUGCCACCGGUACGUACUGGUCUCACUGAUUCCUCCUUCCUGAAGAACCGUAAUGCCAUUAAUUUAGUGUUGCGGGGAAACGGGACUGUUACUUUGAAAAAAUUAGAGUGUUUAAAGCAAGCUAACGCUUGAAUACAUUAGCGUGGAAUAAUGAAAUAGGACGAUCGAUCCUAUUUUGUUGGUUUCUAGGAUUGACGUA